AGAGUUUGAUCAUGGCUCAGAACGAACGCUGGCGGCGUGGAUAAGACAUGCAAGUCGGACGAGAUUUUCCGUUGUAGCAAUACGAUGGAAAGUCUAGUGGCGAACGGGUGCUUAACACGUGGGCAACCUGCCGAGAAGUGGGGGAUAGCUCGCCGAAAGGCGAAUUAAUACCGCAUGUGAUGAGAGAGGACAUCCUUUCGAAAUUAAAGUCGGGGCAACCUGACGCUUCUUGUGGGGUCCGCGGCCUAUCAGCUAGUUGGUGAGGUAACGGCUCACCAAGGCUUUGACGGGUAGCUGGUCUGAGAGGACGACCAGCCACACUGGGACUGAGACACGGCCCAGACACCUACGGGUGGCAGCAGUCGAGAAUUUUUCUCAAUGGGGGAAACCCUGAAGGAGCGACGCCGCGUGGAGGAUGAAGGUCUUCGGAUUGUAAACUCCUGUCAUUGGGGAACAAUGCGCAGAUAUUAACUGUAUUUGCGUUGAUAGUACCCGAAGAGGAAGAGACGGCUAACUCUGUGCCAGCAGCCGCGGUAAUACAGAGGUCUCAAGCGUUGUUCGGAUUCAUUGGGCGUAAAGGGUGCGUAGGCGGCGCGGUAAGUCGGGUGUGAAAUCUCGGAGCUUAACUCCGAAACUGCAUUUGAUACUGCCGUGCUUGAGGACUGGAGAGGAGACUGGAAUUUACGGUGUAGCGGUGAAAUGCGUAGAUAUCGUAAGGAAGACCAGUGGCGAAAGCGGGUCUCAGACAGUUCCUGACGCUGAGGCACGAAAGUCAGGGAGCAAACGGGAUUAGAUACCCCGGUAGUCCUGACAGUAACGGUGCACGUUUGGUGUGGGAGGAUUCGACCCCUUCUGCGCCGAGCUAACGCGUUAAACGUGCCGCCUGGGGGAGUACGAUCGCAGAUUAAAACUCAAAGAAAUUGACGGGGCCCGCACAAGCGGUGGAGUA
rnacentral:rRNA from 1 species